GACGAACGCUGGCGGCGUGCUUAACACAUGCAAGUCGAACGGAAAGGCCCUGCUUUUGUGGGGUGCUCGAGUGGCGAACGGGUGAGUAACACGUGAGUAACCUGCCCUUGACUUUGGGAUAACUUCAGGAAACUGGGGCUAAUACCGGAUAGGAGCUCCUGCUGCAUGGUGGGGGUUGGAAAGUUUCGGCGGUUGGGGAUGGACUCGCGGCUUAUCAGCUUGUUGGUGAGGUAGUGGCUUACCAAGGCUUUGACGGGUAGCCGGCCUGAGAGGGUGACCGGCCACAUUGGGACUGAGAUACGGACCAGACUCCAACGGGAGGCAGCAGUGGGGAAUAUUGCACAAUGGGCGGAAGCCUGAGGCAGCAACGCCGCGUGCGGGAUGACGGCCUUCGGGUUGUAAACCGCUUUCGCCUGUGACGAAGCGUGAGUGACGGUAAUGGGUAAAGAAGCACCGGCUAACUACGUG
rnacentral:rRNA from 1 species